GAGUUUCCUUGUACCGAGCUUAUGUUCUCCACCCACUACUUAGUAAGAACUCCUUAACAACUUAAAGCUUUAUCCCUCUGAGUACCAGAAAAGUGAUUUGAGUAGUUAUUGAGCAGGGAGAAUAAACUGCUUGCUCCGGGCAGGGAGGAAGCUUAUGGAAAUGAUAUUAGACCUUCAGCAAAGUGCACAGCUGCAUCAUACAGAAGCCGAGACUCAAAUUGACAGGCAAAUAAGCCAGAUCACGGAAGGGGCCUCUGUGUGGCAGCUCUGAGCUCCCAAGUGUUGGACAACUAGGCAAAAAGUGCACUGGAACAGGGCAGAAAAUAGCACACUAACUUCAGGCAACUGUUGCAUUUUCAUGGCCUGGAAAGUAACAUUUUCUGUAGAUGUCAGCUUCUGUCUGGUGUGAUGGUCCAUUCCUCUGGUGACGUCACAUGCAGCACUGAGUAAUACUGAUAAAAUGGAAGAGGUCUCUUAGAAUAAGGUGUCCACCUGCAGCUCAGUUUUGCAGCAGGAUCAUUUGUAUCACUUCACUAACUGCUGAGCAAGAGAAGCAAAUUUUGGGAGCAUGAUCAUUGUGAUACCCUCAGUGAUCUCUGUUUCAGUACAUUCUCUUCAGGGCUGUGAUUGUAACUGAUCAGUGAAAGAAAAAAAUUCAAAAGAAAAAGGAAACUGAAGAAGUUAAUUGUACCAGAACAGAAUGCAGCGAAGCUGAACGGCUUCCCGAAGAGCACUGAGUUUUCUAUACCAGAUUCUGCUCCAGUGGCUAGGACCUUUAUGGCUGCUGUUUCUUUUGCUCUGGGCUCUGAUGGAA